rnacentral:rRNA from 1 species
GUGCCAGCAGCCGCGGUAAUACGUAGGGCGCAAGCGUUAUCCGGAAUUAUUGGGCGUAAAGAGCUCGUAGGCGGUUUGUCGCGUCUGCUGUGAAAGACCGGGGCUCAACUCCGGUUCUGCAGUGGGUACGGGCAGACUAGAGUGCAGUAGGGGAGACUGGAAUUCCUGGUGUAGCGGUGAAAUGCGCAGAUAUCAGGAGGAACACCGAUGGCGAAGGCAGGUCUCUGGGCUGUAACUGACGCUGAGGAGCGAACAGCAUGGGGAGCGAACAGGAUUAGAUACCCUGGUAGUCC